CAACUGCCCAAAUAGGGACAGCCCUAGGUAAAGAAGGACAGAUGAUAACCUUCCACAUUUGCCUGCCAAGAAUGGAAUAGAGAGACUGACAUCUGGAAAGCACACCUGAAAAUGCACCAGAAAUGUCAUGCUAAUCUACAGUACCAAUGUGAUGAAUUAUGGAUGGACACAGAUGCAGUUCUUUAACUGACAGAAGCUGUUCUAAUUUUUAACAUCAGGAGAACAUUGUGGAGUAACUGGUGUCAGAUGUUGGAUGUACCCUAAGGUUCCACAGAAUCCUGGUUGAAAAGUCAUUUGCCUAAGGUUUACUAAUAUACAUUUUAUAUUUGCAUAUUCUAGAAAUAUGAAGGAGUAUUCAUCAGUAUUGAAAAUACAAAUAUAAAGCUUUACAUAACAGAGGCAGCCAGCUGGAAAUUAUUAUACCAUUAAGUCCUAAGCUAUUUCAAUAGCUUAUUGAGGUAACCAAUGCAAUUGAGGAAACAGAAGCUGUAACAUAAAACAUGCAC